AAAUCAAUUGGAAUUAGGACGGGGCAACAAGAAAAGCAUGAAAGUGUGCAUCUUCAUCGCACAAAACUCCUGCACGUCGUGAAAUUUUCCUCCGAAAGUGCUUGCGACCUUCCUCCUUGCAGAACUCCCCAGUCACUACAAGAGACGCGGGACUUAGUAGCCAAAAAUUGUCGGCUGUUGUCCCAAACCGCUGCAGCUUCAUUGAAUUGAUGCGGUUUCUCAUGCGUAAUUAAGCCUCGCUCCAAUUGUUCUGACUUGAGGCGGUUUUGGGCAUUCACCGCAUCGAAUAACCCUGGGCGCUACUGGCCUGGCCUUUCCUUUCCUUUCCUUUCGUUUUCCAUUUCUAUCAGACAACUCCAAAACACACAAACUGAAAAGUGAAAGGUGAAAAUAGCAUAGCACAACCCCCAACCCCUUUCCCUUUCCUUCUCCCCCCCUCCAUCCUACGUGUUAGUCCAAAAAAUUAAUUAGGGCUUCAUUGAUAGAACACAAUCAAGUAUCAACCAAAGCCGCAGCGCACACACUCUCUUCCUCUCCAAAUGCUUGUUCUCUUGCCCCAAAUACCACUUUUAGGUUUUUAGUGAAGAGAAAUAGCGAACAGGGAAGGGAGUGACCGCGGCGACGGAUAAAGGGCGCGUGCCCGGCUGAAGAAAUUGGCUGUGGCUCCGUGAACGACAAGCGGCGGCCGCGGUAACCGGAGGUGGCAGAUCCUCUCCUUAGUUCCCUUGGUUUGGAAUUUUAACACAAGAAGUUAGAGCCAAGGAUGUCUCUUCGUAUAAAGGCUGUGGUAGAUAAGUUUGUUCAAGAGUUGAAAGAAGCAUUAGAUGCUGAUAUUCAAGAUAGGAUCAUGAAGGAGAGAGAUGCAAAGUUAUAUUGAAGAGCGUGAGCGUGAAGUAGCGGAGCGUGAAGCUGCAUGGAAGGCUGAACUUUCUCGUCGUGAGAUAAUAAUAACCAAUGAA